rnacentral:rRNA from 1 species
CAAGUCGAACGCGAAAGUUUCCUUCGGGAGGCGAGUAGAGUGGCGCACGGGUGAGUAACACGUAGGUAAUCUACCUUUGGAUGGGGAAUAACAACCGGAAACGGUUGCUAAUACCGCAUAAUGCAGCGGCACCUAAUGGUGACAGUUGUUAAAGCGGGGGAUCGAAAGACCUCGCGUCUGAAGAGGAGCCUGCGGCGGAUUAGCUAGUUGGUAAGGUAAUGGCUUACCAAGGCGAUGAUCCGUAACCGGCCUGAGAGGGCGGUCGGUCACACUGACACUGACAUACGGGUCAGACUCCUACGGGAGGCAGCAGUCGGGAAUUUUGGGCAAUGGGCGAAAGCCUGACCCAGCGACGCCGCGUGAAGGAUGAAAUCCCUCGGGAUGUAAACUUCGCAAGAACAGGAAGAAUAAGUAAGGGUUAAUAUCUCUUACGAUGACGGUACUGUUUGUAAGCUCCGGCUAACUCCGUGCCAGCAGCCGCGGUAAUACGGGGGGAGCAAGCGUUGUUCGGAUUUACUGGGCGUAAAGGGCGCGUAGGCGGCCACCGCAAGUCGGUUGUGAAAUCUCUGGGCUUAACCCAGAAAGGUCAACCGAUACUGCGGGGCUAGAGUGCAGAAGGGGCAACUGGAAUUCUCGGUGUAGCGGUGAAAUGCGUAGAUAUCGAGAGGAACACCUGCGGCGAAGGCGGGUUGCUGGGCUGACACUGACGCUGAAGCGCGAAAGCUAGGGGAGCGAACGGGAUUAGAUACCCCGGUAGUCCUAGCCUUAAACGAUGAAUGCUUGGUGUCUGGGGUUUUAUAGUCCCCGGGUGCCGUCGCUAACGCUUUAAGCAUUCCGCCUGGGGAGUACGGUCGCAAGACUGAAACUCAAAGGAAUUG